rnacentral:rRNA from 1 species
AUUGAACGCUGGCGGCAGGCCUAACACAUGCAAGUCGAACGAGUGGCGGACGGGUGAGUAAUGUCUGGGAAACUGCCUGAUGGAGGGGGAUCACUACUGGAAACGGUAGCUAAUACCGCAUCCCAUCAGAUGUGCCCAGAUGGGCUUAGCUUGUUGGUGGGGUAACGACUCACCAAGGCGACGAUCCCUAGCUGGUCUGAGAGGAUGAACAGCAACACUGAAACUGAGAGACGGUCCAGACUCCUACGGGAGGAAGCAGUGGGGAAUAUUGCAAAAUGGGCGCAAGCCUGAUGCAGCCAUGCAGCGUGUAUGAAGAAUGCCUUCGGGUUGUAAAGUACUUUCAGCGGGGAGGCGUUACACGCAGAAGAAGCACCGGCUAACUCCGUGCCAGCAGCCGCGGUAAUAC